GCCGGUUAUUUUCCAGACGGGUUUCUGCCGAUUUCUGUUUUAACUGUUGCUGUACAUUUUUUUCCGACGAAUCAUUCGACCGUGUCUGGAUCACCAUAUUUACAGACUCCGCCAGUGACGCGUGAAUUGACGUUUUAUCCUUCAACAGGACACGUUCUGAUCUAAGUUCGAAUAGACAGACUUCACUUCGCGCUGGAAGCCAGCCGUCUGAUGGAGCGCUUAGCGGCAAUAGCAGACAUAAAACCCGAAAUAUAGAGAUCAAGCUGGACUAGACAUAGCCGUCUCCCAUAUAACGGUAGCGGAAUUAGAGUAGCAAGAUAACAGCGCAAUUGCAGUUUUACCCCAACACAUACUUCUGGAUUUAUAUCAACUAAUUCCCUAGAUCAAACGGAAAACGACCUCAUUGAGAAAAACCUCAGGCGACUAGAGAGGAUAACAGCCUUUAUCUAAUAGAAACAUAGAAAUAGACAAACUUAUCUUUAUACAGUAGCGGAUUCGAUGUAAUUUUUGUAAGAAAUAUUAUUGUUAGA